CUAGCCCUAAAUCUUGAUGUUCCCCAAACACAAACAUCCGCCCGAGAACUACGAGCACAAACGCUUAAAACUCUAAGGACUUGGCGGUGCCCUAAACCCACCUAGAGGAGCCUGUUCUAUAAUCGAUAACCCACGAUCCACCCGACCACUUCUUGCCAAAACAGCCUACAUACCGCCGUCCCCAGCCCACCUCUGUGAGAGCACAACAGUGAGCCCAACAGCCCCACUCCGCUAAUAAGACAGGUCAAGGUAUAGCCCAUGAAGUGGAAGAAAUGGGCUACAUUUUCUAAAAUAGAACACCUAACGAAAAGGGGCCUGAAACCUACCCCAAGAAGGCGGAUUUAGCAGUAAAGUGGGACAAUCAAGCCCCCUUUAAGCCGGUCCUAGGGCA
rnacentral:rRNA from 1 species